AGUGAACGCUGGCGGUAGGCCUAACACAUGCAAGUCGAACGGCAGCACAGUAAGAGCUUGCUCUUACGGGUGGCGAGUGGCGGACGGGUGAGGAAUGCAUCGGAAUCUACUUUUUCGUGGGGGAUAACGUAGGGAAACUUACGCUACUACCGCAUACGACCUACGGGUGAAAGCAGGGGAUCUUCGGACCUUGCGCGAUUGAAUGAGCCGAUGUCGGAUUAGCUAGUUGGCGGGGUAAAGGCCCACCAAGGCGACGAUCCGUAGCUGGUCUGAGAGGAUGAUCAGCCACACUGGAACUGAGACACGGUCCAGACUCCUACGGGAGGCAGCAGUGGGGAAUAUUGGACAAUGGGCGCAAGCCUGAUCCAGCCAUACCGCGUGGGUGAAGAAGGCCUUCGGGUUGUAAAGCCCUUUUGUUGGGAAAGAAAAGCAGCAGGUUAAUACCCCGCUGUUCUGACGGUACCCAAAGAAUAAGCACCGGCUAACUUCGUG
rnacentral:rRNA from 1 species